rnacentral:rRNA from 1 species
UACGAAGGGUGCAAGCGUUACUCGGAAUUACUGGGCGUAAAGCGUGCGUAGGCGGUUUGUUAAGUCUGUUGUGAAAGCCCCGGGCUCAACCUGGGAAUGGCAAUGGAUACUGGCAAGCUAGAGUGCGGUAGAGGGUAGUGGAAUUCCCGGUGUAGCGGUGAAAUGCGUAGAGAUCGGGAGGAACACCAGUGGCGAAGGCGGCUACCUGGACCAGCACUGACACUGAGGCACGAAAGCGUGGGGAGCAAACAGG